UGGGGAAUUUUGGACAAUGGGCGCAAGCCUGAUCCAGCAAUGCCGCGUGUGUGAAGAAGGCCUUCGGGUUGUAAAGCACUUUUGUCCGGAAAGAAAACCUCGUGGUUAAUACCCGUGGGGGAUGACGGUACCGGAAGAAUAAGCACCGGCUAACUACGUGCCAGCAGCCGCGGUAAUACGUAGGGUGCAAGCGUUAAUCGGAAUUACUGGGCGUAAAGCGUGCGCAGGCGGUUCGCUAAGACAGAUGUGAAAUCCCCGGGCUUAACCUGGGAACUGCAUUUGUGACUGGCGGGCUAGAGUAUGGCAGGGGGGGGUAGAAUUCCACGUGUAGCAGUGAAAUGCGUAGAGAUGUGGAGGAAUACCGAUGGCGAAGGCAGCCCCCUGGGCCAAUACUGACGCUCAUGCACGAAAGCGUGGGGAGCAAACAGG
rnacentral:rRNA from 1 species